GCAAACUUGGUCAUUUAGAGGAAGUAAAAGUCGUAACAAGGUUUCCGUAGGUGAACCUGCGGAAGGAUCAUUACUGAAUCAAGUGGAAUUUGGUUGCUGCUGGCUUUUUUAAAAGCAUUGUGCACACCUUGCUCCAUUUUUUCAAAACCUCCUGUGCACUUUUAUGUAGAUCCUUGGAAUGAACAGAUAAAGAAAAAGGCAUGCUUGCACUUUCUUUGUCGACGGGUAACUGCCAUUGCUUGAAAGUAGACAUGGCUGUUUUGCCUCGGGUUCUCAAGGCUCUAUGUUUUUAAUAUUAUACUCCAUAAGUAUGUAUUAGAUUGUUAUUUGUAGACCAUUUGAGGUCUUAUAAACGCAAAUACAACUUUCAACAACGGAUCUCUUGGCUCUUGCAUCGAUGAAGAACGCAGC
rnacentral:misc_RNA from 1 species